rnacentral:lncRNA from 1 species
AUAUUAAACAAGGACUUGUCUAUUUUCAUAAAACAGGUGUUAUUCACGUUUUAAUAUUAAUAAAUUUAUAUCAACAGAAACUAAAUAAAGAUAAUUAUCAUUUCCCCCUCUAAUUUCACCCAUCCAUACCCAUUAUUCUCUUUAUAACAAUUUCUCUUAAAAUGGAUUUUGCUUGGUGUACAAGGGAGGGAUUUACAAAGCUAUUUCAAAACACACAUAAUAAGGGGUGGGUGGAUUUUUAUUUUUUUUUAAUUGGGAAUAUUUUACUCAUAUUGGGGCCACCCAUGUGAGAAUUCGGAGGGAAUCACAGAACCCCCUGUACACAUGCUUAUUUUCAUCAAAAUGGAUUUUGUUUGGUGUACAAGGGAGGGUUUCUCAGAACAAUACCAUGAAUGCCGACAGUCAUCGUCGUCGCCACUUCCCACUACCGACAAUUGGUGAAAUCACCUCCCAAACAUGAUUCCACCUUCGAUUGGUUUCACAACACCAUGUGGGGCACAAAAUCUACGAGAAAAAAUUCGAAUUCGUGAAUUGUGAAUCUCAGAAAUUUCGAAUUCAGGCAUUAUUGAUAGGGCGGGCAAACCUACACCCAUGGUGUCGCCACUAUUCCAUCAAUCAGACCAAAAUUUGCUUUUGAUUAUGUGCUUCUAUUCUUUUAUUUUUGUGCCAACCUUUUCUUUAUUGGCUAUGAAUUCGUAGUGCGUUGAAGGUGCAAACGAUGGUGGUGGUGGAUUUUGAAGGAUGUGAUCGUGAUUGUGGAUUUGAAGUGGUGGUCAACUUGGGAUGGCGCCGAUGAAGGUGAAAUUGUACGUGCAACAUAUCAAAUUAUAAUUGUGGUUGUAACGACAAUGAUUUGGGUGGUGUCAACACCAACGGUAAUGAAAUUGUAUAUGCAACAUUGUAGUUCAAUUGUGUGGAGGUGGAUGGGGGUAGCGGUGGGAUGCAAGUGGUGAUGGUGGUGUUGGCAGCGACGAUUUGGGCAGUGCCAAUGGCAAUGGAGUGGGGUAGGAGGUGAGGUGGAGUGGAGAUGAAGGGCGGUUGUGAUCCGUUAAUUUGGUAAUUUGUUUAUUUAUAAUUUGUGAACUGUAAAAAGUUUAAUUUGUGACUAAAUCUAUUCACCCCAAAAAAUGUGCCAACAAGAGUCGGGUUCCGCUUAAGUCCAUGUGAGCAAAUUUUGGUGGGCUUUUCCCAAAUAUCUGGUCUAAAAUUCGAUGGCUUACCAUGGACGUGAGAAUAGGAGUGAAAUGCACACGGCCAGAAACAAUUGUAAUAAUGAAUAAUUGUAACUUAAGCAAAUAAAUAUCAAGAGAAUGGUGAUAAGCAUGUAAGCUUGAAUAUAUAUUUUUCAUCUCGUACAAUGUUACAAAAAUUGCUAUUUAUAUUGAUCAGGCCGAAGUAGUCACUGUUGAAUCAGAUCUACAUGGCUCCAUUUAAUUGACAGAAGUCGUAAUAGUGUCACACAUUAAUUACAUUGACAAAUACAUUUGAUAAGAGAUAAACCGCUCUACAUUUUUAGACUAACAUGUCUGACACUUAUUAAUGCAAACGUUACAUUAAUCAUUCUUAAAAAUACACUCAUCAAAUCUGCUCUAAAGAAAACAAGUGCUUCGACCACAAGAGAGGGAGCUUUGAACGCAAAGGAGUUCAAAUUCGAGAGAGCGCUCUUCGACAGCAGAGCCUUGGUGGAGAUAGCACUUGACGGAAAGGUGAUUCUCGUCUUUUUUUUUUUCUUUUUUUUGUCAUGGUUGGCUACCACGUGUAUGCAAGUGGUGCUUCCAUGUGGCUUCCAUUUGAGGUUUCACAUAUUAUCAGUUACAAAAUCUGUAAACUGUAACCUAUUAAAACAGGUAAUUUGUGAUUAAAUUUGUAAUCGUGAUCACAAAUUAUGUCAUUGUAACUAUGACCUUGUACAAUUUGUAAUAGUGACCACAAAUUAUGUAUUAUUGUGAUCGGAACUUGUUUAAUUAAAUUAUAUGUCACAACAAAAUGUGACCACCUAAUUUAGAAAAUCUAUAAAAGAGAAAGUGUGAGGAGGUGUAAGAGAGAGAUUGUGGAGGGUAAGAAAAACAAUUAUUAAAUGAUAUAUUAUUAGGAUAUGAUUUUGAUAAAG